CAAAGUGCUGGGAUUACAGGCGUGAGCCACCACGCCUGGCCGGAGCAUCAUGCUUUUAAGGUGGCCAUGGACCGGAUGGCCAAGGGGCCACCACACUGCCAUUCCUGAACUAGAUAAUCUGAGAGAGUUGAUGGAGCACCUGUGAAUUCUGGGAAUUCUGCACAUCUAGAAUUCCCAGAUUCUAAUGUUCUAGAGUCUGACAUUCCAAGAUCAGAGAUGCUAAGUUUUCUAGAGUCGUAGGCUCUAAGAUUCCAACAUUUGAAUAUUCUACAGUACGAUAGAAGCCAGAAUCUUCUGAGGUUCUGUAAUGAUAAAGUCCUGACAUUCUCAUCUUUCGAGGAGAUAGAACAUAGAGCAUCUAGAAUACCAAGGUGCUAGAACCCCAAAGUGUGUGGGUUCCAUUCUAGAGUUCCAGAUUCCAUUCCAGAACACAGAUGGUCUAGAACAGGGAUUGGCAAACUUUUUUUGGUAGAGAUCCAGAUAGUAAAUAUUAGGCUUUGAGGGCCAGUCUGUCACAACUACUCACUUUGCCAUUGUAGCCAGAA
rnacentral:lncRNA from 1 species